rnacentral:lncRNA from 10 species
UCCUUUUGCUUUUUCUGGCGGGAAAAGCUCACGCGCACCUCCCCCAACUCAACUGCCGUUCGUCGUUCGUGGAUGUCCGUUGUGUCCCGAGACUAGGACGUGGCUCCAGUGUACCUCCGGGAGCGGCCUGAGGAGGCAAGGCUGGGAAUGCCGGUCAGCUUGGAGGAGCAAAUACUCAACUCCACGUUCGAAGCUUGUGACCCUCAGAGGACAGGUGGUGGGGGCAUGAGGGGUGCUGGGGACCAGUGCGGGCAGGAUGGGGUGGAGGCUGGGAACUGGGGAGCCUCAGAGAGAAGACUGGGCUAAGGCCCCCUCUUGGGGGUAUUGUAAGAACAAAGUGGGUGAUUAUGGGAAGCUUCAGGAAGAAGAACGUGGAUAAUGGGGUGAAGGCCUUUUAGAAUGAGGAAAACUUGGGGGACGUUGAUGGAAGAGGGCAGAGUUUUGGGGUCGUGGGAUAGGGGAGGGAGGCAGCCACCAUGGUGGCGUGGGGCAUGGCUGAUGCUGUCCCUAUGUCCAUCCCCUUUGGUUUA